GUGGAAGGAGCUUGGACGUGGAGUCAGACUGGCUUCUGACACCCCUCUGCUACCACCUCCUUGGAUGAACCCUGGAAUAAGUUAUUUUACCUCCUUGAACUGCUGAUUGCUCUUCCCUGAAACUCAGGAUAAUACUACUUCCCUCAUGGGAUUGCUGAGAAGAAUCAAUGCCACUGCAGGCAGCACCAGGAUCCCUGCACGCUCUCGUUGACUGGCUGUGAGAUUCAAGAAGAGAGAAUGCUGGGGCACCAAUUACAAAGGAGGAGGAUGCCUUCACAUCACAAGAUUCAAGAGCUUCCCCUGAGAAGUCACUGCAAAAAUCAGCAAAGGUCAUUGUCUGCAGAUUUUCUCCGCUUGUCCAAGUGGCUGUCACCUGAGCUGCUUGUCCCAGGCCCCUCAUGUGAUGCAGUGAGGACUAUAGGUGGUCAGUUGAUUAGAAAAGUCGUUAGAAGCAGGGAAUCAUACAAAGUGUUUUUUUUCUUUUUAUAACUUUAAACAUAUAAAGAUGUAUUCAUUUGCCUGUCUUUGGAUGAAGAGCC